UGUCAGCCCCGCUCGGCCUCGUCGGGGAGGGGAGCCCCGAGCGCCGCUGCCCGCAGCUUCUUCCUCCCUCACCUCGCUGGGAAGGGGGAAAAAAUAGGAAAGAAAAAGCAAAGAGGUGGCGCGGUUCCACCUGCACUGUCACGGGGGAUAUCAGCUGGGUCAGGGCUGCUGUGUGCUGCUGCAACUGGAGGCAUGGCUGCAGAGAUGCUCCAUUUCUGGGAAAGUUUCCUGUAUCUUAAGCCUACCAGACCUGAGAGUUACAGAGGUACCACCAUGCUGUGCAAGUAGUCCAGGAAUGAAAGCAGUCAACAGCAAACAUCACUGCAAGGGAGUUUUGACAUCUGAAGUCUUGCAGACAAGAGGAAUUAGUACUGAAGGAUCCGGCAGUGAGAAGCCUUUGAAGCUCACUUCUUAGAGGUGCAGUUGUUACAACAGAUAAAAUGAGCUGGCAGAAAGGAAAAAAGGAACUUACAGAAGAAAGCAUAGGAGAUGGGAAGCACAGCCGAAAAAAACGAGAGCGACUAUUUAAGAAAAGAUUUUCUGGAUUGAGUCUCUUCUCUGGGUCUCCUAAGAAUAAACUGUAAGUACAUAUGAUAUUAUAUUUUGUAUACAUUUUUAAACAAAUUUAUUUAUACACAUUUCCAAAGCACCUCUCAAAGAGCCAUGAACACCUUUGUAACAUCUGCUGUAUUAACUUCACAAACAAGGUAACUGUUAUGGGCUAAUUAAACAAUUUGAUCUAAAAAGUAGCAAGUCACUGGCAGAAGUAAGGUCUCCAAUCUCGGGCGUCUGCACGUUUUUCUUGCAAUCAUUUCUUAAGCGUCCUUCCAUCCAUCACAAAAAACGUGGAGGGGCAGCAUCCCUAUUUUUCCACGCACUUCAGAGAGCUGCCACUUGGGAUAACCCAGGGCUCCAUUUCUAGGAGUAACAGUUUUCUGUUGCACCAAUAUCCCUAGCUCCAGGGUGCAACAGUGGCAAUAUAGCAGCACCUAAACUCACUGUUCAACAAAGUUAGUGCUAGUGAGUUGCAUUGCUUAUUUUCCCUACAGUAGUGCCUUUAUGCUCGCUACUUUUCAGAGGGAAACGAAAAAAGAAAAAAAAAAAAAAGACAAGCAACGAAAAACUAUUCCUUUUAUCACCAAAUUCAGCAAAGAGGGAAAAAUGACUUUUAGCUUACUGUUUGGUGCAUCAGUUAGCUUUAAGGUAGUUUCAUCAUUCUUACAGUAUUUGAAAUUGUCUUCUUGUGUACUUGUAAUUGACAUUACUCUUCUUUAACAUAAGGUAAACAGAGUGUAUGUAUCAUGCUAAAAUCUAAAAAUGUGUCUUUCCUCAUCCGUUACAAAAGCUGUUUUCUGUACAGAUCUCCUAAAAAGAGUCUGUCUUUGAUAAUGAUCAUGAAAUUACCGUCUUAGCAGGAAGUGCAUGCAAGUCUCAGCAAUUACUCAGCUAACUACAUUAAGCUUGAUAGCCACGGCAGCUGGUUACAAGCUUGACAUAAGAUUAAAAUACAGUAGCCAGAAAUGAUCCUGAGAGCCAGAUUCUUCUCUCAGAUUGAUCCAAUUGCUGAACAACUAAUACCAAGGGCUCUGCUUUGGAAUUUAUCUUGCUGCAGUCAUGGGGAACUGGAGUGGAAACAGUCAAAGACCAUCCAAGAAGUUAGUGAAUUACAGUUGUGACUUUUCUUUGUUGUCUAUAAUUUCACUAAAGCAUGCAGAUAAGUGCAAUUGAAGAAGUAAAACCAUGCUGUCCAAACCUUGAUCCUUAUUUGAAAGUGACAAAUACAGGUUUUCCCAGUUUGAUCUAAAAAAAAGCAGUAACAUAACAUCCUUCUCCCACGGGACUCUCACAUUAAUCGAAAGUCUUCAGAUGUUACUGGAUGUUCUUUUACAGACACAUUACAUGGCAGUGCUUUUAGGAAGAUUCUGGCCAUGGGGGUCUACGGAACUUUCACAGUGGUGUAGCCAAAUCAGAAGAUCUCUAUGGCUCUGUGCUGCUUUGUGAGCUCUUUUAGGGGAACAUGCUUAAAGUCUUGAUUUAUAAGUCACAUUUUAUAUAAAAAACAUUGAGAGUGCUUUUUUUUUUUUUUUUUCCCCAGCCUGUCCACCUCUAUUGAAAGCCAGUACAAAAUAGGGCUUGUCUUACUAGCCAGCAUAAUUAUUUGUGCACGCAAAUGGAAAAAUAACCUUUAUGACAGUACAGAUGAAGUCUAUUGGGCCAGAAGCCUGUAGUUUAGAUGCACGCAGUUGCAUGAAAAUUAUCUUCAUGCAAAUACAUGAGGUUUAUGUCACGAUUACCCACAGAAAAGGUACAUAUUAAAGAACUGUGUAGAAAGCUCCUAUCUAGCUAGUUGACUUAUGACUUAAAUUAUUAUUUAUUUAUUUAUUUUGCAUUUUUGUUUUUAAAACUAAUGACUUGUAACUACCAUCACAACAACAGAGCCAGGCUUCUUUUUCUGCCCACUCCUGUUUUCUGCAGGAGACCGCACAUUGCACCUGCUUGUUGAAUGCCGUAGAACCUCAGGAAGGGUUCAUAAAUCAACACUAAUUGCUUCUGAUGAUCUCAUUCAUCUAGGAAAUGUAUCAGUUAAACUUGCCACCCUUCUUUCCUCUGACUGUUCUAGCCCUCAGGGAAGGAAUCAGAUUUUUGAAGACAAGAGGAGAUGUUUGCACAGGAAAGGUUCCAAAAAGCUGAAGCCAGCACGAGAGGAAAUAUGUUCUUUAAGGCAGCCACACUCUGGGAAAAUGUGUCCGAAGUGUGAAAUCCUUGUCUGCCGAAAAUGUGAGACACUGCAUUCAGAAAGCAGCUUCAUUGCCCACAGCCUGCUCGAUCACUAUGACAGAGGAGGAUGUGACAGCUCUAACACAUUGAUUGCAAAAGGCCAGCAAAUACACAGAGGUGAUUAAAGACUUGGUGGGGGUGCCUUGUUGAUACCUGACUACAUCCAAAAUGCUGAAGCUUGGAUCCAUUCAGGCUGAGCCAUCUGUCUGCGCAAUCUGUAUGCAGCAUCAGCAACUACAGCCAUACUGUUGUUCAUACUUAUUAUAUGUAGCAGAUGUCAUUCACUCAGUUAACUAGUACAAACUCUGCAAACAAAGAUUUGUAAGUAGGAGCUAAAAGUGUCUCAGCUAUUAAGAACAGGGAACGGUUUCAAACAAUUUCAAAGAGCUUUCUCUUUUUUCCUCUCAAAAAAAAAAAACCCAAGAUUAUCACAUCUAGCUGCAAAAGAGAAAGUGAAUAUUAAAUGCAGAACCACUGGGUGCAUUACAUUUGUUUGUAAUGCACAGGUAUGUUUCAGUGUUGCUUAUAGUCUGAAAUAUUAAACUUAUUUUAAAUUAACUGGCAUUAGUGUAUAAUUUGAUUGGGGGAGGGGUGGAGGGGAGGGGAAGAGAACUUCUAAAGGCUAUCCUGGCCACAGAAAAUUGCAGAUCACAUUCAAAUGCCCUUCCAGAAUUUCCGAGCUUUUACAGACAUUCAACGCCUAGCUUAUGAUCCAGCACCUCUCCUUAAGAGAAGCAGUAACAAUAGCAACUCACAGAGUAAAUAUUUAAGCCUUAUUUGGGUUUAAGAUCUGUGUAGUGCAGCACUGAUUAAAACAGUAUUCAAAGUUUAAACAGUGGUAUUCAAUGUUAAGAUUAUGAGCGGAACCCACACCUUGAGCUGUCCAUCUCCAUUCCCUUCACAGGGCCUGGAAGGACUUGCCCAGUGACAAUCAGGAGAGCAGGAAGGUGACAAGCCAAUAUACCAUGCUAGGUGGUGUGUGGCGCUGCGGUCAGCCGUACACAAGACUAUUUACCUGUAUGGAACUCAGAAAUACAGGGUAAGCAUAUAAACAGCCUCUGGAGCAGAUUACGUCUUUUCCUCCCAUGCUAACUGCCACAACUCUAUAUGUGGGAUUAAUUCCUUGCUGUUGGUAGGGCACAGACUGAACAGACUUUGUCUCACAUAGCCAUAAAUAUUAAGGAUUCUUUUAUUUAGCCAAGCAAACAGAGCAUGAGCUGGACCUCUGUUUAAUCACUCCUCUUACUAAGUUCCCAAGUCACUAAUCCACGGGAGCAAGGAAACUGUCUCCUUCUGUCUCUCUCUGUCCUCCCUCCCACCCCUUUGGGAGUUGUUCCAUUUUUGAUCAAAUCAAUGUUGGGUAAGGGGACUGGAAUCCACAUUGUUUCUGUCCCUAGGGAGUGCUGUAACUGUGCUGCAUCAUCCAUUCUAAUGUUGUUGGUUACCCGCCUCCCUGCCCCACGGAAAACAGCUUCAAUAGGAGGAAUCCGUAGCCAGGUAAAGGUCAUUCCCACAUUCCUGAGCAACAGUGCUCAGCUCCCUUUGAGAUAAACUAGAUGAAGACUCAACACUCCUUACGCAGAGGAGCACAUCAUGCCUUCUGAAUUCUGCAAAUGGUCUGAGAGCUUAGAAGAGGAAAAAAAAAGAUGAUCCUGCUCAGCAGAAAUUAACCUACCACUUCAACACUACAGCUGGAUAUUGGCAGGUCUCUAACCCAAGAUGGACUAGCACAUUGAAUGCACAUUGAUGGACAGAAAGCAGAGAAGGGAGACUGUCCUUUAAGAACAGUGCUUCAUCUUGCUUGAAAAAUAGUCUGUGGAGUCCCUCCCUGGUGCCUAGUGCUGCUGAAGGUUUAAGAGUGGGAAACAAACAAACAAAAACAACAACAAAACAAGCACAGGAGAAACUGCCAUCUCCUGCAUCAUCUACUGAAGACAAAAUGGACUGUACCUUUCCACUGCAAAACCGCAGUUUCUGAUGUACAAAGUAAUCUUAUACAUAUUCCAGUUUAAGUAGAGAAGUAGAUUGUAACAUAAAUGCAUCAACACAGUUACAUGGGAAAAUUAGCAAAACCAAAUCCACACAGGUUCUUGCUGUGCUGUACAUUAUCAGUGGAGAUCAUCUCAGUUACAAAAGGAAGAGAUCAAAAUA